UACGUAGGGAGCGAGCGUUGUCCGGAAUUACUGGGUGUAAAGGGAGCGUAGACGGAAUUGCAAGUCUGAUGUGAAAAUCCGGGGCCCAACCCCGGAACUGCAUUGGAAACUGUAUUUCUAGAGUGUCGGAGAGGCAAGUGGAAUUCCUAGUGUAGCGGUGAAAUGCGUAGAUAUUAGGAGGAACACCAGUGGCGAAGGCGGCUUGCUGGGCCUGUACUGACAUUGAGGCACGAAAGCGUGGGGAGCAAACAGG
rnacentral:rRNA from 1 species